AAGGAAGGACUGAAAACAGUGAGCACUGCUAACCCUUACUUCCCACGGUUAAAAUCCGCGGCUUCCUUG
rnacentral:tRNA from 1 species